GGGUACGUAGCUCAGGGGAUAGAGCAACCGCCUUCUAAGCGGUCGGUCGUAGGUUCAAUUCCUACCGUACCCG
rnacentral:tRNA from 1 species